ACUCCUACGGGAGGCAGCAGUGGGGAAUAUUGCACAAUGGGCGCAAGCCUGAUGCAGCCAUGCCGCGUGUAUGAAGAAGGCCUUCGGGUUGUAAGUACUUUCAGCAGUGAGGAAGGUGGGUAUGUUAAUAGCAUACUCAUUUGACGUUAGCUGCAGAAGAAGCACCGGCUAACUCCGUGCCAGCAGCCGCGGUAAUACGGAGGGUGCGAGCGUUAAUCGGAAUUACUGGGCGUAAAGCGCAUGCAGGUGGUUUGUUAAGUCAGAUGUGAAAGCCCGGGGCUCAACCUCGGAAUUGCAUUUGAAACUGGCAAACUAGGAGUACUGUAGAGGGGGGUAGAAUUUCAGGUGUAGCGGUGAAAUGCGUAGAGAUCUGAAGGAAUACCGGUGGCGAAGGCGGCCCCCUGGACAGAUACUGACACUCAGAUGCGAAAGCGUGGGGAGCAAACAGGAUUAGAUACCCUGGUAGGCUCU
rnacentral:rRNA from 1 species